rnacentral:rRNA from 1 species
CCUGGUUGAUCCUGCCAGUAGUCAUAUGCUUGUCUCAAAGAUUAAGCCAUGCAUGUGUAAGCACACACUGUUUUAAAAGUGAAGCCGCGAAUGGCUCAUUACAACAGCCACAGUUUAUUAGAACUUACAAUCAUGGAUAACUGUGGUAAUUCUAGAGCUAAUACACGCACAAAAACUUCAACUGAAUUGGUUGAAGUGCUUUUAUUAGAACAAAAACCGAACGGCGUUUGGCGAAUGUUGAACGUCGAAACUGUUUGGUGAAUCUGAAUAACUAUUUCUGAUCGCAUGGUCUAGCACCGGCGACAUCACUUUCAAGUGUCUGCCUUAUCAACCUUCGAUGGUAGUCUAUGCGACUACCAUGGUGAUAACGGGUAACGGAGAAUCAGGGUUCGACUCCGGAGAGGGAGCCUGAGAAACGGCUACCACAUCCAAGGAAGGCAGCAGGCGCGCAAAUUACCCACUCCCAGCUUGGGGAGGUAGUGACGAAAAAUAACGAGACGAUUCUCGUUUGAGAAACGUUAUCGAAAUGAGUACGCUUUACACACGCUAACGAGUAGCAAUUGGAGGGCAAGUCUGGUGCCAGCAGCCGCGGUAAUUCCAGCUCCAAUAGCGUAUAUUAAAGUUGCUGCGGUUAAAACGCUCGUAGUUGAAUUGUGGUCUUAGACAACAGUCCCCCUACAUAGGUGUGGCACGGUUGCUCGAGAUCUUCAUUCGUGGUUGCUGUUGUUGCUCUUCAUUGAGUGUCAAUGGUGCCUCGAGAUUUUACUUUGAAAAAAUUAGAGUGCUCAAAGCAGGUUGUGAUGCCUGAAUAAUGGUGCGAAAUUCUCCACAAUACUGCCAUUCAUUAAUAUAAAACUAUAACAAUCAAAUAAGUAGAAAUUUGGAAAUCAAAUUUUUCGGCGAUUUCCUCAAAAAAAAAGUCUAUAGCGCGGUUCUAUUUUGUUGGUUUUCGAACCGGAGAUAAUGAUUGAAAGGAACAGACGGGGGCAUUCGUAUUGCUGCGUUAGAGGUGAAAUUCUUGGAUCGCAGCAAGAUGAACAAUUGCGAAAGCAUUUGCCAAGAAUGUUUUCAUUAAUCAAGAACGAAAGUUAGAGGUUCGAAGGCGAUCAGAUACCGCCCUAGUUCUAACGGUAAACUAUGCCAACCAGCGAUUCGCCGAAGUUCAUUUAAGACUCGGCGAGCAGCUUCCGGGAAACCAAAGUGUUUCGGUUCCGGGGGAAGUAUGGUUGCAAAGCUGAAACUUAAAGGAAUUGACGGAAGGGCACCACCAGGAGUGGAGCCUGCGGCUUAAUUUGACUCAACACGGGAAAACUCACCCGGCCCGGACACUGGAAGGAUUGACAGAUUGACAGCUCUUUCUUGAUUCAGUGGGUAGUGGUGCAUGGCCGUUCUUAGUUGGUGGAGCGAUUUGUCUGGUUAAUUCCGAUAACGAACGAGACUCUACCCUAUUAAAUAGUGACAGUAUUGUAUUUUUUGUGCUGAUCACUUCUUAGAGGGACUGGCAAAUUGAAAGCUGCACGAAAAAGAGCAAUAACAGGUCUGUGAUGCCCUUCGAUGUCCGGGGCUGCACGCGCGCUACAAUGAAAGCGUCAACGUGAGUUACGUCCUUACCUGAAAAGGUUUGGCAAUCGAAUGAAACGUUUUCUUGAAUGGAAUAGGGAAUUGCAAUUGUUUCCCUUGAACGAGGAAUUCCCAGUAAGCGUGAGUCAUUAGCUCGCGUUGAUUACGUCCCUGCCCUUUGUACACACCGCCCGUCGCUACUACCGAUUGGAUGAUUUAGUGAGGUGUUUUGACUGGCGCCAGUAGUCGGAUGUAUUCGGCUUCGCGCCGGGAAAUUUCCCAAACCAAAUCAUCUAGAGGAAGUAAAAGUCGUAACAAGGUUUCCGUAGGUGAACCUGCGGAAG